CCUACGGGCGACAGCAGUGGGGAAUAUUGCGCAAUGGGCGAAAGCCUGACGCAGCGACGCCGCGUGAGGGAUGAAGGUCUUCGGAUCGUACACCUCUGUCAGGAGGGAAGAAGUGGUUAUAUGCGAAUAGUGUAUGACUUUGACGGUACCUCCAAAGGAAGCACCGGCUAACUCCGUGCCAGCAGCCGCGGUCAUACGGAGGGUGCGAGCGUUAAUCGGAAUCACUGGGCGAAAGGCGCGCGGCGGCGGCUUGUCACGUCAGGGGUGAAAGGUACCGGCUCAACCGGUACAGGCUCUGGAAACUGGCGGGCUAGAGAGCAGGAGAGGGCGGUGGAACGCCAUGUGUAGCGGUAAAAGGCGUAGAUAUAUGGAAGA
rnacentral:rRNA from 1 species